GACGAACGCUGGCGGCGUGCUUAACACAUGCAAGUCGAACGGAAAGGCCCUGCUUUUGUGGGGUGCUCGAGUGGCGAACGGGUGAGUAACACGUGAGUAACCUGCCCUUGACUUUGGGAUAACUUCAGGAAACUGGGGCUAAUCCCGGAUAGGAGCUCCUGCUGCAUGGUGGGGGUUGGAAAGUUUCGGCGGUCGGGGAUGGACUCGCGGCUUAUCAGCUUGUUGGUGGGGUAGUGGCAUCCCAAGGGCUUGAAGGAUAGGCGGCCCGAGAGGGUGGACGCCGACCAUGGGACUGAGGUACGGCGCAGACUGGUACGGGAGGCAGCAGUGGGAAAUAUGGUACAAUAGGCGGAAGCCUGAGACGAAAACGCCGCGGGUGGGAAGCCGGCUUGCGGGGUGUAAACCGCUUUAGCCUAUGACGAAGCGUGAGUGACGGUAAUGGAAGAAUAAGCACCGGCUAACUACGUG
rnacentral:rRNA from 1 species